ACUAUUUUGGCAGAUUAGUGCAAUAAAUUUAGAAUUUAUUUAUGUAGAUUUUUACUACAGAUAGUA
rnacentral:tRNA from 1 species